GUUAGAUUCAUGAAUAAGUAUUAGAGUUGUAAUGUGGUUGAAAAAUCACUUGAUUCUAAUUCUAUUUUCUUUUGAAUAAAACUUGGAAGAGUUUAAUUUAGUUAUAUCCACAUAAUGUAAUGUCUCUCAAAAUGUGCAUCUUACCUCAAUCAUAGUCUCUUAAUAACUGUUAGAGGCAGUUUUGAAUCAAAAAUUAUUUUACACUAAAUCUGUUUUGCUGGUACUAAUUACUACCACCACAAAAUUUGCCAAUUACAUUUCCUUGCACAUUCUAUGCACUUUUCUUUAUUUUUCACUUAUUUAGAGUCUAUUUGGCUUGUUAUUGGA
rnacentral:misc_RNA from 1 species